GGGGUUGUGUCUCAGUGGUACAGUGCACACCUUGUAUGUGUGAGGCACUGGGUUUGAUCCUCAGCACCACA
rnacentral:tRNA from 1 species